AAGCCAGUAUUGAAACGUUUGAGACAUAAGAGAUUGCAGAUGCUGGAAUCUUGAGCAAAGGGAAAAUGCUGGAGGAACUCACUAUAAAGUGCCUGAAGAACUCAACAUAAAAUACUGGUGGAACUCAACAGGUCAGUCUGCACCUGAACAGGAGGAAUUCAAUAUCAGACCUUGGUGAGACCAAACUUGGAGUAUGGUGUGCAGCACUGGUCUCUUUGCCUGAGAAAGGAUGCACCUGCCAUAGAAGAUCUAUGGUGAAGAUUCACUAAAUUGGUACCAGUCCUUCUUUUCAUUAUCUUGUAGGGAUGCAAGCAGAAGCCUCCACGUCCAUGGGCAAUGCUGACGACAGGAACUGUACCACAGUGACUGACUGAAGUCGCCAAUUCUGCAACCACUGACCGUCAACUGUCACUGACCGACCGGAAAGACGUGAUAUAGAAGAUGGCCGGACACGAGGAAGAAUUAUCUUGUAGAAUUUUCUGUGCAUUUAUUUAAAAAUGGAUUAAAAUAAAUAAAAUAAAAAAAUGUCUGUGCAUUUUAUGUAUAAUUUAUGUUUUUGUGUGAUGUCUCAAUGUAUGUGUCUGUAAUGCUGUAGAAACAGAGAUAAUAGCACAAGCUGGAGAUAUUUUAGAAUUCUUACCUGAAGCAAGAACCCUACUUCUUCCACCACAGGUGCUGCCUGACUGCUGGAUGUUUCUAACAUUUUUUGGUUUUGUUUCAGAUUUCCAACAACCAGUUUUUUUUUUUUGCUGAACAUCAAUUUAUCUGUAGGUCCUAUUAGAAGGUUGAUUUCAUGCUGUUGGCCUACUGCUUUCUGAGGGCUUUCUACUAUAAACCCUUUUGCUGAAAAGCUUGUAUUUGCCUCGAAAGGAAGAUAAUCAUUUUCCCCAAAAAAACUAUUCCAUCAUAACCAUCUUGAGUCACAGGCCAAGAAUGAAAGUAUAAUUUUAUUCUCAUAUUUGAGAAGGAAAUAAUAUAGUGGUAUUUUUCAAUACAAAAGAUAUAUACUGAUUUUCUUAAAAAUAUCUUUAGGAAUUUUAUAUUUCUUCAAUUCAUAUCUGGAAGGAAUCCAAAUAAAUAUCAGAUAAUACAUUUACAUGAUUUAGGUUUUUAAGAAAAUAUUCUGUGUAUUUUUCAAUGUUAGUCCAUUAUUAUGCAUUUGCUUAGUCAUGAGAAAGGAAAAUAUCAAAAUAGACGUUAAAAUCGACGGAAUAAAUAUUUCCCUAGUAGAAAUAAUGUUAGUCUCAUAAUUUAAAUAUGUAAUCACUGGGUUUUCAGCUUCACUGAUGGGGAUUGAGGCUGUUCUUAUCUCUUCCAAUCACUGUGGCUUGUCCUAUGGUAGGCUGCAAUACUGAAUCCCCAUGGUGUUAAUUAUAGUUAUCAAUCAUUAUGUCCCACAUUUACUUCCUCAAAUAUGAAGGAACUCUUUGCAAAAGAGUAUGCAAAGGGCUAUAUUAGGAAGAAUCUUGGGAUUUCUGUGAAGCAAAUGCUAAUAUUAAGGACAAUAUAGUG